rnacentral:rRNA from 1 species
UGAACGCUAGCGGCAGGCUUAACACAUGCAAGUCGAGGGGUAUAGUUACUUCGGAACUAGAGACCGGCGCACGGGUGCGUAACGCGUAUGCAAUCUACCUUUUACAGAGGGAUAGCCCAGAGAAAUUUGGAUUAAUACCUCAUAGUAUGUGAGAAUCGCAUGGUUUUCACAUUAAAGUUCCAACGGUAAAAGAUGAGCAUGCGUCCCAUUAGCUAGUUGGUAAGGUAACGGCUUACCAAGGCUACGAUGGGUAGGGGUCCUGAGAGGGAGAUCCCCCACACUGGUACUGAGACACGGACCAGACUCCUACGGGAGGCAGCAGUGAGGAUAUGGACAAUGGGCGCAAGCCUGAUCCAGCCAUGCCGCGUGCAGGAUGACGGUCCUAUGGAUUGUAAACUGCUUUUGCACAGGAAGAACAACGCUACGUGUAGCGUCUUGACGGUACUGUGAGAAUAGGAUCGGCUAACUCCGCGCCAGCA